GAUGAACGCUAGCGGCAGGCCUAACACAUACAAGUCAGGGGUAACAUAGGAAAGCUUGCUUUUCUGAUGACGACCGGCGCACGGGUGCGUAACGCGUAUACAACCUACCUUUUAGCGGGGAAUAGCCCAGGGAAACUUGGAUUAAUGCCCCAUAGUAUAUAGACUUCUCCUGAAGUUUAUAUUAAACAUUUAUGGCUAUUAGAUGGGUAUGCGUCCUAUUAGUUAGUUGGUAAGGUAACGGCUUACCAAGGCAGCGAUAGGUAGGGGUCCUGAGAGGGAGAUCCCCACACUGGUACUGAGACACGGACCAGACUCCUACGGGAGGCAGCAGUGAGGAAUAUUGGACAAUGGGCGAGAGCCUGAUCCAGCCAUGCCGCGUGCAGGAAGACUGCCCUAUGGGUUGUAAACUGCUUUUACAGAGGAAGAACCACCCCACGUGUGGGGGUUUGACGGUACUCUGCGAAUAAGGAUCGGCUAACUCCGUG
rnacentral:rRNA from 1 species